AAGAAUUGCAAGAUGGAAGGAGAGAAACUUGUUGCAGAGGACGGACGUCGAAUGAAUGUGCCGGUAGACAUCUUGCCCGUCCCUUUUUAUACGUAUCCUUCAAGUCUGCUGCUGCUGGUUGGUAUGUCCAUAUACACAGGUGAAAAUGGAAUACGGAAGCCAAUAAUCCGGACUCGUGUGGUCAAUACACGAUGGAGAAGAAGUUCUUUACCCGGAGUAGGUCACAUCACCUUUUGUCUUAUCAGGACCGUACCACCUGUUAGAGGUUGACAACCAAACUGGCGAUUUAUCUGGAAUAGAUUGCUGAACCCUAAAAGAAAACCCAAGAAAAUAACCCCCCGAGCAUCAACGCACCUGGACCCGAUUGGGUGCCAAUUUCUUUCCACCGCCGUCAGUUGGAAACAGUUUGAAUCUCAAUCAACAGGUGGAGUAGUUGCCAAUGAUUAAGGGAAAAGAAUUAAAAAUAAUAAUAUUACAAACCCCGCCCUUUUUCCCGCCGACUAACAGGUACUUUACCUUCACC